rnacentral:tRNA from 1 species
GCCUGGGUGGCUCAGUCGGUUGAGCAUCCGACUUUGGCUCAGGUCAUGAUCUCGAGGUCUGUGAGUUCGAGCCUCGCGUUGGGCU